CAAUUCCUGUUGAGGUACUAUCCACUGAGAUGUUUCUCCUGUGACAGAGUUCAGACAGACUGGCUGAUCUAGAGUGACAUGUGCUGUGUCCUGCUGGGGAAACACAGUGGAGCUAGAUGAGGCUGGACAAGGAGAAAAGACAGGACUUCUAAGUGGUGCAGCUGGACUGAAGAGUUCCUAAAGUGAACAACCUGGGCUAAUCUGUUACAAGCUCAAUUCUCAGAUCCCCUCAGGAACAAAGGGGAAAAUCCAUAAUGCUGAGUCAGGGCUGCUGCAGCUCCCCUUGCCUCCGGUCCAACCAGUAAUGAUGUUGAAGAUACUUCCCAGUUUCUCCAUCAGCAAUUCAGAUUGCAGUUGAAAAACCAUUAAAAAUAGCACAACUCAUUACUAAGUCUGAAGACUGCGCACAGAAUUCAUAUGUUGUGCAGGAAGAUGAGAGUGAGAGGGACAGCAGCCCACGUGACAGGUAUGUCAUUUUAACAAGUAUUUUGUUUAGGAAGCUGUUUAAGCUGUGUUACUAUCCAGAGAAAUUCUCCCUUUCAAAAGCAAUAGUGACAGGAAGAGAAACAAUGAUUAGAAAGCAAUUUAAAGAGCCUAGUGGGGCAGAAAAUGUGCUUGCCACAGCCACACAAAGCAAAUGUAGUUACAGUUGGCUGGCAAAGAGGCAGUCAAGCAUCAGUAGAAACAAGAAAUACCUCUUGUCCCGAAGAUAUUGAAAUCUACAGCAGAAAAUUACUUUUCUACCUAGUACCUCAGAAAUAAGAGUAUAAUUACACGUAACCCAGGAGCUCUGCAACUACCUCUCAGAAUUCAAAAGCUUAUCAUAUACAAACUUCUCUGGAAUCCUCAGGAGAAAACAUUUGGAUUGAAAAAUUAAUUUUCAGUACCUCCCUCCCCCAUCUCUACCAAUAUUCUUGUCACACACAGAUAUAAUAAUCAACUUAGUUCUGAUUGUUUUGAAUGGAUCAUAAAAGAACAAAUGAACCAUAAGCAGCUUAAAAUAACAGCAAUCAAAACUCUGAAGUAGGGGAAUUUGACCAAACUAUGAGCCUAAGAACACACAAAUCCUUCACUUCUUUUGUAUAACAAGGCUUUUGUAUAACAAAAGGGGGGGAGGAAUUCCAACUGAAAAUUUAACUACCAGGUUUACAACUACUGUAGCCUCAGCCUGAACAGCAGAAUGUUGAAAGCACCCUCUUAAGAAAUAAGAUCCUUUGGUUUAGUAAAUUCAAUUAGUUCCUUCAUAUGCGGUUUUCUCUUUUGCUGUUGGUUGAACAACUCAGCCUAUAAGCAGUGAUCUGUAAGUAGUGAUCUACCCUUGGGGCCUAUCAAUUAUUUCUUCUAUCUAUUUACAGCGAGGUCAGUUGCAGACAGUCUGUGCUUCCACUGUAUUUGUCUGCAUUGUACUAGCUGUAAAAAAACCACACAUAAUAUUCAUUGAAACCUGUACCCUAGAAUACUAGUGUUUCCUGUUUAAAAUAUUCAUAGGUGUAAUUUCUGCCCUGGGACGAUCUAUUGUUCUUCCAUGGUACACACUGUGUACACAGGAUUUUGUAAACAGUGUUCAAGUAGAUGGUAUUUAGGAAUCUGCAGAAGUAUCCAGUUUCAGAGAUAGAUAUCUAUUACCACCGACCAAGGGAAAAAUAAAAAUGCAUAGAUACCUUUCUGCAUAUGAAGCCAGGUCUAAGAAUGUUUUCUUAGUAAAACCGGGGGCUGUUAGCAUAACAUGGCAUAUACCCCGUAUAUUUGCUGAGAACACAACCUUUGUUGUAAAAAAUCUUGAAAACUACUGUAAAGAUCCCGAAGUCGUACCAAAAAGUUCAGUAGAGAAAUUGUACUGGAUGGCUGACUGGCAGCUUAGAACAAAUAAAACCUAAUUCCACUUUACAACUUAUUUGAAGGUUUUCCACAUUGUAGAGUGAAAACUUGUAAUGCAUUCAUCUGCCUUAUAUUUCUAGGGUCUUAGUCCCCUACAUCAUUUCCCUCAAGUUUAAACACCGCUACUAUUGCCUAUUCAAUGUUUUUUUUUUCUCAUCAGAAUACUUUAAAUUACUGGAUUAUUUGAAAACAUUUGAUACUGUUAUACAGCUUUUCUUCACCUACAGAAAAUAUUCACAGAUAGACAUAGGCUGCUUUCAAAUAAAUGUUUUCAAACUAGUUUUAAAAGUUUAUGUACAAAAUUACAUCCGUGAACAACUCAGAUGUUUUGAAAAUCAGUUUGUGUCCUGGGCUAUAUCUGCUGGUUUUGUCUGGUCAUAGAUUUUUAAUGCGCUUCAAGCACACAUCUGUACCAACCAGAAGAGCCUUUGUACUGAGAAAAGAAUCUCAUUAAUACGAACUAGGACUUCGUAACAUUUCUUACAUGAUGGUAGAGAUUUAAGGCUUGGAAAAUAUUUUUCAGUAGCUCAAACUUACGUCUUAUUUGUGUCCCACUUCAGCAUCCAGGAAGUUGAUACUGCAUGCAGGAUCGGGGCUUUAAUCAUUCAUACAGCAACAUCCAGAGCUCAGUCAGACUGCCUGAAUCUGCUCACAUGACAACUCACUACACACAGGCCUUGAUUGCACUGCUGCUAGCCUUCUUAGGGCAUUUCUUCCUACUAAGGUUACCCUAGUUUAUAGCCUGUUGAUAUUGCUGUUCUUUGAUUCCGUAGUAGGUUUUUUGUUUGCUUUUGAGUCAAGGGCAGUGGGUCUUUGGUUUGUAUCAGUAAUGAACUUCAUUCUCAGCAUCUUCUCCCUGAAAAAUACUAGACCUCAAUAACAAAAAUUGCUGAAAACCAUUAAGGAGACAUUGUCAGUUUUUCCACGUAUAAUACGGCAUUUCAGAGAAGCCUGUAUACUGUGUUCUGAAAUGCAAUCAAGUCCUUCAAGCUUUUCCUAACACUUCAAAGGUGACUACUUCCAGAAAAUGACCACCACCUUACACUGAAACACAUGCAAAUAGAAGAUGACUGCUAUUUUAAGAAGAAACAUCUAACUGACAAGUCUUGAAAUGCUGCCAUUCUUGUUAAUUUAAUUUCUUCCUUAUUUAUUUGGACCUUUGCUGAAUCACCACUAUGAAAAUCCAUUAGUUUAUUCUUAAGCUGAGAGCAAAGGCACUCCCUAAAUUGGCAUUGAGGGAUCACUGCAGAGGAAUUCUAUACCUUCCUUUGAGCGUACGUUGAGCUUUUCAGGCCAGCAUAAACACACUCACUGGGAUUUUGAUGCACUGAUGCUUCAUUGUUGUUGUUAUUUUUAAACUGUACCCCAGGAUAGGAGGAGGUAGAAGAAUUGCAAAGCUUGAAUCCAAUGCACUAUUUCAGCACAGCUCCCAGCUUCAUCAUGCUUCCACUAGCACUUUCUGGAGGCACAUUCUGCCUUGUCUCCUUUACAUCACUCACACUGGCCCACCUGGAAUCAGCUGCAUUCAAAUAAACUAUCAGGAAAUACAUCAGCCUGUGAAAGUGACUUCAAGGCCAUAAGGACUGCAUUAGAACAGUAGAAGUACAUCAGGGCCUAAACUUACGAUGGUUAUCCAUCUAUUACUUACAAUGAAGUUGCUUGCAAGAAGAAUACUGAGCAGAAAAAAAAGACAAAACAAGAACAGAACAGUAAUGAACUGAUUACCUGUCAACCACACGGAAGGAAGCAAUGUCUGGCUGCACAUGCUAGUAUAUUAGAAUGGUUGAAGAACACGUUAUUCAGCCAAAGUCCUAUCCUGGUGCUCUUUAUUUUCUUUUAUUAGUUUCAUUUAGAGAAUUAGAAGCCGAUACUUCUGGAAGCUCUACAACAGCAGUAUACAUUUUAAUAAGAGAAUAACUGAGUAGUCAUAGAUUUGUUAAUAAUUUCUGUCUCCUCACAGAAGUCCAGGAGACAUUUUCAGUUAAUCUUCUUUGUAAUAACAUUAGAGUAAUAUAAUUAGCCACACAAAAGGAAUAACUGUAACGGGAGGGCCAUCCCCUGUCCCUAUGGGAGACCUGGGGUGAACCUGCAGCUCACAGCUCACCUUGCUUUGCCCGCGGUCCACCCCUACCCGGCACUGCCGAAGCGAGGCUGUUUGUCCGGGGCAGCACCCGGGCAGGUGACAGCUCUACCGCUGGGGCACAGCGCAGAAGGAGAAAGGACAGCUGUCUACUGCCUCAGUUUCACUGCAGCAUCAAGCAGGAGCAGCCGGUAAAGCACGCGAUUCGAACAUAUGCAGGAAAGACGACGGCACUUCUCCACGAACCUGUUAAUGUUUAUUCUCCUUGCAAGUAUCUAUGUAUCUAUAUAACGACAGACAGAAGCCUGCACCCAACUGCUCCGACUUGAGAGCCGGCAGCAUGAAUUCCUUCUCCUUUUGCCCGUCCCGUCAGCUCAAGACAUCACGGCUCAAGCACAAGUGGCCUCAGCCGCUCGAGGACUCAUUCCAUCUUUUUACCGGCGUUUAAGAGCCUUAACGUUUGUUUUGAAACAUUACGACUUCAAGCAGCGAGUCGACGACGAGUCUAGGAGUGCCGUACCUUAUCCCACAGCCGCUGCCGCUAGCAGCGCACCCCCGGCUGGCACCGCACCGCCCGGAACCCAGCGCCCGCGCCCCCUGCGGGGCUCCGACAGCCAAAGAAAGGGCUGCCGAGCCGCCCCGGGACGG